UCUAAGGAGACUGCCGGUGACAAACCGGAGGGAAGGUGGGGAUGACGUCAAGUCAUCAUGGCCCUUACGGCCUGGGCUACACACGUGCUACAAUGGCCGAUACAAAGGGCAGCGACACUGCGAGGUGAAGCCAAUCCCGUAAAAUCGGUCUCAGUCCGGAUUGGAGUCUGCAACUCGACUCCAUGAAGUUGGAAUCGCUAGUAAUCGUGGAUCAGCAUGCCACGGUGAAUACGUUCCCGGGCCUU
rnacentral:rRNA from 1 species